rnacentral:rRNA from 1 species
GACGAACGCUGGCGGCGUGCUUAACACAUGCAAGUCGAACGGAAAGGCCCGGCUUUGGUUCUGUGCUCGAGUGGCGAACGGGUGAGUAACACGUGAGUAACCUGCCCUUGACUUUGGGAUAACUUCAGGAAACUGGGGCUAAUACCGGAUAGGAGCUCCUGCUGCAUGGUGUGUGUUGGAAAGUUUCGGCGGUUGGGGUAGGACUCGCGGCUUAUCAGCAUUUUGGUGGGGUAGUGGCUUACAAAGGCUUUGACGGUUAGCCGGCCUGAGAGGGUGACAGGCCACAGUGGGACUGAGAAACGGGCCAGACGCCUACGGGAGGAAUCAGUGGGGAAUAUUGCGCAAUGGGCGGAAGCCGUAUGCAGCAACGCCGCGUGCUGGAUGACGGCUUUCGGGGUGUAACCCGUUUUCGCCUGUGACGAAGAGUGAGUGACGGUAAUGGGUAAAGAAGCAACGGCUAACUACGUG